GUGCAUGUCUUGCAGAAAUAUGCAGGAACAACUUAAGUUCACCUCCAUAGGUGAACACCUCUAGCCAGCGAUAUGCCUCAGUAUGGAAUGCAGCAGAGCUAAGUCAAUGCCUUAAUUACAGUAAAACAAAGGACACUCCUCUUCACCUAUCUGCCUCCGCUGGUUGCAUGUACUCAUGUCUAUAAAUCAAGACUUGCUUUCAUUUAAGAAAUACACAGCAUAGUUAAGACUAAUGGUAAAUAAAGGUCAUUAAACUAGAUUGACUGGACAUUUAUGUCAAGGUAUGGCAAGUUCAUUUAUAUAAAUAAUCUUGAUUGUUUUAUAACAAGCAAAUACAAUUUCCUCCUCUGGGAGCAGGUGCGGGAGGUGGUUUUAUUUGGUUGUUUGGAUUCUGAAAGUAACAUUCUGAAUAUGGGUGGGGAAAACGAGGAGAAAAUUAAAGUUGUCAUACUACAAAGUGCUUUCUGUAUCUGGGCAAUGCAAUCUUCAUUUCAUCAAAGGCUAAAACCGAAAUCCUGUCACUUGAAAGCUAAGGGAUUUGCCGACUGAGGUGGGAGUCUGCAGUUAGAACCUCAGCACUAAACACACAUAGCUGUUUACCUUGCUGGUGCCCUUGGAUCUGCGAUAUCCCCUGGAGAGCUUUAGAAAGAACCAACAAACAUCUAAGGUGGGUUUAAACAAGGAGGAAGUAAGAAAUCCUGUUGCUAAAUACAAUAAAUAUACCAUAAUUUCACUAAAAUUUUAUGAAAGAUAUUUACUUCCAAAGGACUGAAACUGUUAACCUUCCUCUAAUUUUCUUCUUUUACUCUAGAACUAUUGAGUCAAGUCUUACCUUCCUUGGUUUCACUGCAAUCAUACUGGGACCUCCAGAGAUGCCAGUUAGAACCUUUGUUGGCCAUUGAUCAAAGGAGCAACUGUGCUGAAUCGAAACCUAGGAUGUCUUUUCCUUGGGAUAUGUGUGAGUCAUACUGACAAUGCCUAGAGAGUUUUAAAUAACCUCAUUAAACCUCGUUUCACCUUCUUUGCUACCAGUUAUUGCUGCUAACUGCCACUUCCAUGGAUGUUUAUAGCCUCUCUGCACAGUACAAAACAUUUAAUGUGAAAGAAAUAACAUGCAGGCAAAUGACCCUGCAACCACUCCAAAAGGGAAAGACUUCAGGACCUCCUCGUGCCUGAGGAAGAAGCAAGAAUGGGUAUAUCUGAUAUUUUUCCCUCUCACAAAGCAGCUCAGGCCCUGUAUUGCUCUGUACUUUUGGAUGUAAUACACUUGUGUCACAUUGCUCUCAUGUGUGACUGUCUUCAGAUCUGAAAUCAUCUCUUCCUCCAGGUGGAACAUGCUUUUCUCCGUAGAAAGAUCUCAGUAUAGGGGCAGAAACUGACUGAAUCAUGGUCUGUAUUGCAUUUUCUUCUCCUUGGUCUGAGAGAAAUUGGACAGAAAUGAGUGUUAUGUUCCAACAGUCUCUCUUUAUGUUCAUUGUCCUGGGAUAUGAUGUGGGCAAAGUAACAUUCUGAUCUGCAGUUGUUGAAACAUGACAGCUGGUGCACAGUGUUCUUUCUUUGAUUAAGAAAGGCUUAAACAAAACUUGCGGGACAUCCAGACAGCUCUCCUUCACAGGCUAUGGUGUGAUACAAGAUGUUUCACUGAAGAAAAUGGAACUACUCUGAGAUCAGAAUCAGGUCCAAGGUGAAAGAACAAUGAGUUCUUCUCAACAAUUCUUCGUCAGGUCCAUAUGGAAAGUAGUUAUGCUGCAGAGCAGCGUCAAAACAGCUUAUUAGUUAUAUCCUUCUUCCCUUCUGAGGCAGUUUAAAGGUUUAUGCUGCAUUUGUAGCAUAAGUUUCCGUAAGAAACACAUUCUGUUUGCAGCACAUCAGACUUGUGAAUCCCAAAUUCAUAAUACCAGCUAGUGAAUUCUAGAUGCUGUCUUGGAAACAAUAGUUUUGAGACCUUGUACUUGGAUCUUCCUCAGCCCACCUUCCAGAUCAUGUCCAUAAAACCUCUCCCAUGAUACCCUUCUUGCUGUCAGUUCAUUUUCAUCACAUUAGUGGUCAUCCUCCCGUUGAACUGAGAAAGAAGAAUAGGAAGAAUGUAUUCACCAAUUCUAAUCCAUGCUGAACACAUUUUCAUACGCUUAGGCAUCUUGAAGUCGGUAGGAACAUUUGCAUCAAAGUGUUUGCUGCAGGGGUAUCCUGCUCAUCAGAUUUUACUGGCACCUGUGUACGUGUGGAGAAAACCGUAUAUGUAAAUAUUUGCCGAAACUGAAUUUUCAGUGUGCAGAAGCACUUAUGUCAGUUGUAUGUUUUGGAUCACUCAACUUCUAAGUGUCAGAGCUUCGGGAGUGCCCGCCUGGCACCCUCUGUGGUUCAAGGGAAGGCAAUAUUUGCAAAAGCAGCUCACAGCCAAUCAUGCAGCCUCUUGGUUCUCAGGCUACUGAAUGCCAGUAUGAUCUUGGAGAGGAAAACGAGCAUCUGAUUAUCGGCUCCUCCAGCCAUCUUGUGUCUGAAAUUCUUCCUGAUUUUUUUGGGUUGCAGUCAAAUCAAAAUACUAAGAAAAAGCAUGAGGAACUCCUUGAACUUGUCACAACUCUUGCAAGUCCCCAGCUUUGCCACUUGGAAAAACAUAUCCUGCUACCUGUGCUUUUCUCCUUUGAAGCUUGUCAAGCAGCAAAGUGAGAUCCUUGUUUUCCAGGAUAAAUAUCGUUGGAUGAUAAAAUCUAAAUAAUGUCACAUGCCCUCCAGAACGUUAGCAUGAUGAACAGUUUUUCCAAGACAGGAUUUUAGUGGGAAGAUUUUUGUCUAUUACUUUAAAAACAUUGCAUGUUCUAGAGUCUUGUGACUGGGUUUAAGUGAACGUGUGCAAAUGACAGCCCUUCAGAAUGAUUAAAGUAAC
rnacentral:lncRNA from 1 species